GACGAACGCUGGCGGCGUGCUUAACACAUGCAGGUCGAACGGAAAGGCCCCUUUGGGGGUACUCGAGUGGCGAACGGGUGAGUAACACGUGAGUAACCUGCCCUUGACUUCGGGAUAACUUCAGGAAACUGGGGCUAAUACCGGAUAGGAAUCCUUGCUGCAUGGUGGGGGUUGGAAAGCUUCGGCGGUUUUGGAUGGACUCGCGGCUUAUCAGCUUGUUGGUGGGGUAGUGGCUUACCAAGGCUUUGACGGGUAGCCGGCCUGAGAGGGCGACCGGCCACAGUGGGACUGAGAUACGGCCCAGACUCCUACGGGAGGCAGCAGUGGGGAAUAUUGCACAAUGGGCGGAAGCCUGAUGCAGCAACGCCGCGUGCGGGAUGACGGCCUUCGGGUUGUAAACCGCUUUCAGCAGGGGCGAAGCUUGUGGUGACGGUACCUGCAGAAGAAGCACCGGCUAACUACGUG
rnacentral:rRNA from 1 species